CACUCUUAAGUCUAGCGGCACUGGGGCACUCUAAGGCGUGGCAUUUUGACGAUCGUUUGCCGGGAGGCUCCCCAUCUCCUGCUCUGUUGUCUCGUGUGGUGGCGUCGUCGUCGCCGCCGCCUUUUUGGGAGCGCGCAGCCGGCGGGCAUGCCGGUGGCUGCGGGGGGCGGCGGCUAGGCUAGGGUAGCUUUGGCUCGACCAGAGGGGAGGCUAGGCCCGCCAGCACCGCGGCUGUACCGCGCCAAGCUCCACUUGCCGUUCAGCCACCUCCCGCACCUGGACGACGCCGCCGCGGUGACCUGCCGCGCGGAGCUGAAGACCGGGAAGGAGCGCGAGAUGCGCGAGACCGACGACGAGCGGCAGGGCCGCGACCUGAAGUGGCUGCGGGACCAGUAGGAGCCGCACGAGAGGCGGAGGGUGUAGGAACGCAAGGAGAAGUGGCGAACCAGGCACCUGAAGGCCCGCAAGCAGCCCGUGAGGUUCCAAUUCCUAUAGGUACGCCGCUUGCGCACGUUUCAUUAGGGCCGCUUCAAGGAGCCCAGCUUUCUCUAACACGGAGACGUAUAUGUCUUUUGACAACGGAACAGCAGCUGCAGUCCACUCUGUCUCCUCUAGAUGAAACUAAAGGCCUUCGUCUCUAAGAAAAUAAGCCGUCUCUUCCUAUUGAAAAAGUUCGAGGCAAUGGGCUGUUUCCUGAAUAAACCCGUGAUAUAGUUCCCGUGGCCCAUACCUUGUCUCCGGUUCUAAUUGUGACGAUACCUGUUCACCCCCUCUUUGUAUAAACUCAUAGGUGUCGGGUGUAAAGUCUUUAAUUACUUCCUCGUUACGUACCUCGGGAAAAAACAAAAGGUCCAAAAAACACAACCGGAAACCACAGACCUACUCAUAACCAUGAUGUCAAACAAAUGUGAAAAGUACGAGAAGGAUAAACUCAGAUGAUACCGUUUCUUAUCUAACUUCUGCAACUGACUCGAAUCCGCACACUUUCAACUAUUAGUCUAACACAACUGAAUGGCGACACCUUUUACCCAAUUUUAGAGUCCGUGUCUUGAUGAUGGACCUCUAUAACACAGUUAUCCGGCGAGCGGAUCACCACUUCUAUCUAGACAUGGUCGUCUAUACGAUAAUGACCGACCUAGACGGUAUCAUUUACUUCGAUAAGAAUGUCCUCUCAGAUGAGGUGUCACCUUCCAGAGUCAACGACCGGCACCGGGACUGCUUUACAAUAGCUAUUUCUCUCUAUUCUUAGUAUAGGAUAAACCACCGUGCUUCUAUGACGUUGUGUGCGGUCUAUUCAGACAUUUAGAAGCCCGCGGACUACCACCAACACAUCGAAAACAUAACUCUUGACCUAAACUCUGAUCGGUCCCUUUUAACUACUCUUGGUAGAAUAAGAGUUGACUCUCCCAAUGACGUUUAUCGUUCCUUUCACCCAACAAAUAUGAUAAAAACGAUAAGAAACGCUAUUAACGUAGUCCGAUACACGAAUACUUCCCUGACCUCCUAGGGUGUUCUUCGUCUAUAUUUGAAAAAAAUUCAACAAGUGACUAAGAAUGAAGACACUAAGGAGGACUUGACGGUUACCUCGACAGGUAUCGUCAAUUAUGUAGAAAUUAACGAAAUCAUUCCGCACCGUAAAAGACGUGUCUUGGUAAGUCUUAUGGUAAACGACCCUUCCAACUGUAUACGACGAAGCUAUUCUGACCUUGUAACUGUAGCCUACUAUACCUCAAGGUUCCUCAACAGUGAAACCUUUCGCUGCGUCUUAAUUAUAGACUGCGUUUAUUCAACGGAGAGGCGUAAGUUCUUCACGAAAGGUCGACGGUACGUAACCAUAAACACCUGUUGUUUGACCAACCACUGGGGGAACUUUUUCGACGUUAUUUUCCGUAUCUGACCUAGAUGUGGAGACUACUCUUUCGGUACAGAUCCUCCGGACCACCGGUUGGACAUGUCUAACAUGUGUCUAUAGUGAAACGAAGAGUAAACUUCUCUUACAGACAAUAACAGGCAUAGGUCCUCUUUAAAAUACGAAAGUAUUUCCCACGUGGCCUCUGGUAAGUCCUCUCCAAUCAACUAGAUGGACGACGUAUACACCUUUGUAUGUUUUUUAUGUGCGCAGUCCCGAGGGCCCAGAACAGAGAACGUAUGUUUGACGAAGGCCUCUACGGACAAUCACUUCGAUCUUCAGACCUUUCCCUAGUUCACCUCUCACUGAAUUAAAAACGACCAAAACGCCAGAAGUUGACAGGAUAUUCCUCACUAAGACGGCGACAGAACGAGCUUGACCUUGUUAGAAGGGUACUGAACCAAUACUAGUGGCCCCUGGUUCGAAACUGACGAACAGUACAACGAUCGGUUCACUUAUAGACAAGCUUCGGCCAAGAUUAAAAUUGUGCCUACUUCUGAUCACCUAAGCUCACCCAAAGGGGACUACUUUGACUAUCUCAAGGUAUGUCUCGACUCCUCCAAUUUCUUAAUAGUCUUAGUGUACUAGAAACGUAAUCACCCCUGACGAAACUUUACGAUGUUUCCUGGCUACGACAACAGGUUCAGUAAGGAGUACACUUCCAAAAACGCGCGCAACGAGGUCUUGUCUUUCUUGAACAUGACUGUUGUAAAUUCUGACAACCCUCCUACUGUGACUACACACCUCUACCUUGGUUACUACAACCGCGUGACUUUGUCCGUGUACAACCGUAUCGAGACAAUUUACGACUUGGCCACGUCUUUCGACCGAGCUUUAGAGUCAGUAGGUUUGAACUUUCGUUUAGUCCCUUCGACUUUUUUGGCUUUGGACGAUUGCUCAGUAGUAGUGUUAACCAAGGUGGUCGAUCGUCAAGGCGAUUUCGUGGGUCGUCGGCGGGGAACUGACGACGACUCUUUGUCGCGCUUUUCGACGUCUUCUACAAUCUACUUUACUUACUACUUUCACUACCGGCGAGUCGUGGAUAACAUUUCGAACCCCUACGUAGGUACCGGAGUGGAAAGUGUCGUUUCGUACGGAGACAACGGGGGUGCGAACUAUAGUAGGCGGUCCCCGCUUCGUGGGAUCAGUGAUGUGAGGUUUACAAGUUCUAAGAACCUGAGUUGACGGAACGUUGUCGUAUGCAAGAGUCACAUUACAUGAACCUACCACACUUUGACCCACUACAAGUUCGAUGUUAGUCACCACAGAAGUGCCGCCGUAAGAAGGAGAAGUAGAGGGUACGAGCGGGUGAAGUUCGUGACAGACGUCUCGCGGGAGUAGGAUUGUAGAAAACACGUAUGCAAAAGGAAAGGUAAGAGCCGGUCAAACGUUACGUGAACAAGAAGAACUACAGUCGACAGUUGAAUCGUAGGUUCAUAUACGGUCUCCUUACGUAACUCGGACUAAGUCUCAAGGUAGGUUUGGAGCAGUUGUGUCAAAGUAUGUACCACUUGUACUACUAGGUCCAGCGUUGGAAACGUCACUUGAUGUACCCGGUGGGAAAAUUGGUCUCAUAUAGUCUCUUGUUCGGUAAGUUCAUACGAGAGAUAAGUCGACAACAAAAGAAGUGCCAUUAGUGUAGCCUAUACAAGUCCCUAGACUUGCUGAUGUACUUCGAACUCGGGAACGGACUUCCUUACUCCCCGUUUGACGACGAAACCCGAUACGAAUACAAAACGCCAACGAUACCUACCCUCGCGAAGAACGCUACCCGCAAGGGUCCGUUCUACGGUCGUACCCUCUUCGCGGUCUUUGUCCGUCAACGUUUGGAUCUGUUCUUCGUCCGUAUCGUAGAACGUAAGAAAAAAGGUAGUGACAAACUAAGAAGUGGGAGGCGACCGGUUCCGUCGCUAGAACAGUGAUCAUUUGACUACCGUAUCAGCGUGAGAUUACACAUCAAAUCCUCUUAAAACAGUCUGAGAACUCGGGAUAAACAUCCUCCUAUAUCCCAACUAUGGAUGAGUUGUAUGUACGGACCAUACCUCCCAGUCUUAAAAGUCAAAGGUAUGGAACACGAUUACUACUGUACUUAUACGUACUUGUAUGGUAACUCCUGUGUGGCUGUGUCAUACUAAAUACUCAGUAGACAGACGACAAUAUUCAAUUAGGAUAAACUAUAACGUCAGAGAGCUCCUGGACGAUGGGCUUGCCAAGGCGGCAAGGUAACCGAACGGUAGACCUUAAUGAACGUAUGUAUUUGAAACAAGAACACCUUCACAUAUACUACACGUUAAAAAGG
rnacentral:rRNA from 1 species